ACGGAAGGUAGCAGUGGGGAAUAUUGGGCAAUGGGCGAAAGCCUGACCCAGCGACGCCGCGUGAAGGAAGAAGGCCUUCGGGUUGUAAACUUCAGUCAACAGGGAAGAAACAAAUGACGGUACCUGUGGAGGAAGCAACGGCUAACUACGUGCCAGCAGCCGCGGUAAUACGUAGGUUGCAAGCGUUGUCCGGAUUUACUGGGUGUAAAGGGCGUGUAGGCGGAGCUGCAAGUCAGAUGUGAAAUCCCGGGGCUUAACCCCGGAACUGCAUUUGAAACUGUAGCCCUUGAGUAUCGGAGAGGCAAGCGGAAUUCCUAGUGUAGCGGUGAAAUGCGUAGAUAUUAGGAGGAACACCAGUGGCGAAGGCGGCUUGCUGGACGACAACUGACGCUGAGGCGCGAAAGCGUGGGGAGCAAACAGGAUUAGAUACCCUGGUA
rnacentral:rRNA from 1 species